ACAGUGAAACUGCGAAUGGCUCAUUAAAUCAGUUAUCGUUUAUUUGAUAGUACCUUACUACUUGGAUAACCGUGGUAAUUCUAGAGCUAAUACAUGCUAAAAACCUCGACUUCGGAAGGGGUGUAUUUAUUAGAUAAAAAACCAAUGCCCUUCGGGGCUCCUUGGUGAUUCAUGAUAACUUAACGAAUCGCAUGGCCUUGUGCCGGCGAUGGUUCAUUCAAAUUUCUGCCCUAUCAACUUUCGAUGGUAGGAUAGUGGCCUACCAUGGUUUCAACGGGUAACGGGGAAUUAGGGUUCUAUUCCGGAGAGGGAGCCUGAGAAACGGCUACCACAUCCAAGGAAGGCAGCAGGCGCGCAAAUUACCCAAUCCCGACACGGGGAGGUAGUGACAAUAAAUACUGAUACAGGGCUCUUUUGGGUCUUGUAAUUGGAAUGAGUACAAUUUAAAUCCCUUAACGAGGAACAAUUGGAGGGCAAGUCUGGUGCCAGCAGCCGCGGUAAUUCCAGCUCCAAUAGCGUAUAUUAAAGUUGUUGCAGUUAAAAAGCUCGUAGUUGAACCUUGGGCCUGGUUGGUCGGUCCGCCUCGCGGCGUGCACUGAUCCGACCGGGCCUUUCCUUCUGGGGAACCGCAUGCCCUUCAUUGGGUGUGUUGGGGAUCCAGGACUUUUACUUUGAAAAAAUUAGAGUGUUCAAAGCAGGCAUAUGCUCGAAUACAUUAGCAUGGAAUAAUAGAAUAGGACGUGUGGUUCUAUUUUGUUGGUUUCUAGGACCGCCGUAAUGAUUAAUAGGGAUAGUCGGGGGCAUCAGUAUUCCGUUGUCAGAGGUGAAAUUCUUGGAUUUACGGAAGACUAACUACUGCGAAAGCAUUUGCCAAGGAUGUUUUCAUUAAUCAGUGAACGAAAGUUAGGGGAUCGAAGACGAUCAGAUACCGUCGUAGUCUUAACCAUAAACUAUGCCGACUAGGGAUCG
rnacentral:rRNA from 1 species